AAGUCGUAACAAGGUUUCCGUAGGUGAACCUGCGGAAGGAUCAUUAUUGAUUGUAAACUGUUGCCGUCUGUGCUGGCUCCUGCAAGUGCACGUCGGUGACUUUCAUUCAUUCCAAUACCCUUGUGAACCUUUGGCCUCUUGCUAGCUGGCUUCUUCAGCUGCUGGCAGAGGAUUCUACAUACAAACUCGAAUGUAAUGAAACUCUUGUUGUGCGCAAGCACUACUAUUAUACAACUUUCAACAACGGAUCUCUUGGCUCUCGCAUCGAUGAAGAACGCAGCGAAAUGCGAUAAGUAAUGUGAAUUGCAGAAUUCAGUGAAUCAUCGAAUCUUUGAACGCACCUUGCACCCUUUGGCAUUCUGAAGGGUAUGCUCGUUUGAGUGUCAUUGUACUCUCACACUCCCGAUCUUUGCAUUGGGAGCAGUGGACUUGGGUUUGCUGCUUCACCGUCGCUUACCUCAAAUAGGUUAGUGCAACUCUUGGUUGGACAUAGUACGGCGUGAUAAGUGUUCUUCGCCGGUGCCUCGCAAAGAGGGUGGCCGAUCGGGAUGUUGUGCUCCAAACCGUCUUCGGACAAUCUCUGACGACUGACCUC
rnacentral:rRNA from 1 species